CCUACGGGAGGCAGCAGUGAGGAAUAUUGGUCAAUGGGCUUACGCCUGAACCAGCCAAGUCGCGUGAGGGAAGACUGCCCUAUGGGUUGUAAACCUCUUUUGUCAGGGAGCAACGCCGGCUACGUGUAGCCGGACUGAGAGUACCUGAAGAAAAAGCAUCGGCUAACUCCGUGCCAGCAGCCUCGGUAAUACGGAGGAUGCGAGCGUUAUCCGGUUUGAUUGGGUUUAAAGGGUGCGUAGGCGGAAUGCCAAGUCAGCGGUAAAAGCGCGGGGCUAAACCUCGCUCCGCGGGUGAAACUGGCGGGAUUGAGGGGGCGAGAGGUAUGCGGAAUGCGUGGGGUAGCGGUGAAAUGCAUAGAUAUGACGCAGAACUGAGAUGGCGAAGGCAGCAUACCGGAGCCCAACUGACGCUGAAGCACGAAAGCGUGGGUAUCGAACAGGAUUAGAUAACCCAGUAGUC
rnacentral:rRNA from 1 species